AUGGCGGAAAACAAAAUGGCGGGAACAGAAAAAAGGCGGGAACAGGAAAAAAGCAGGAAAAGAAAAAAAAGGUGGGAACAGGAAAAAGGUGGGAAAACAAAAAAAGGGAAAAUAAAAAAGGGCAGGAAAAUAAAAAAAGGCGGAAAAAAAAGGUGGGAAAACAAAAAAAGGUGGGAUCAGGAAAAAGGCAGGAACAGGAAAAAAGGUGGGAAACAAAAAAGGGCUGGAAAACAAAAAAAAGGGUGGGAAAAUGAAAAAGGUGGGAACAGGAAAAAGGUGGGAACAGAAAAUAGGUGGGAAACACAAAAAGGUGAGAAAAUGAAAAAGGGAAACAAAAAAAGGGUGGGAACAGAAAAAAGGGAAGGAAAAGAGAAAAAGGUGGGAAAGCAAAAAAAGGUGGGAAAACAAAAAAGGCAGGAAGACAAAAAAGGGCAGGAACAGGAACAGGGCUGGAAAACAAAAAAAAGGUGGGAAAACAAAAAAAAAGGGUGGGAAGAGAAAAAAAGGACAGGAAAAGAAAAAAGGGUGGGAACAGAAAAAAGGGCAGGAACAGGAAAAGGGCAGGAAAACAAAAAAAAGGCGGAAAAACAAAAAAAAAGGGUGGGAACAGAAAAAAAGGUGGGAACAGGAAAAAGGUGGGGACAGAAAAAAGGCGGGAAAACAAAAAAGGUGGGAAAAGGAAAAAGGCGGGAAAACAAAAAAGGCGGGAAAAGAGGAGGGGGAAAAAAGGGAAAAGAAAGGAAAAAAAGGGAAAAGAAAGAAAAAAAGGGAAAAGAAAGAAAAAAGGGAAAAGAAAGGAAAAAAAGGGAAAAGAAAGAAAAAAAAGGGAAAAGAAAGAAAAAAAGGGAAAAGAAAGAAAAAAAGGGAAAAGAAAGGAAAAAGGGAAAAGAAAGAAAAAAAAGGGAAAAGAAAGGAAAAAGGGAAAAGAAAGAAAAAAAGGGAAAAGAAAGGAAAAAAGGGAAAAGAAAGAAAAAAAGGGAAAAGAAAGAAAAAAAGGGAAAAGAAAGGAAAAAAGGGAAAAGAAAGAAAAAAGGGAAAAGAAAGAAAAAAAGGGAAAAGAAAGGAAAAAAGGGAAAAGAAAGAAAAAAAGGGAAAAGAAAGAAAAAAAGGGAAAAGAAAGGAAAAAAGGGAAAAGCAACCCCCCCCCUCCUCCCCUCAGGGAGCCGUUUGGAGCAUCAAGUUCCUCAGGAGUUUCUGGCGCCCCACCUCAUAAUCCUCCUCGUCCACGUUGACCAGCAGCUUGAUGGCCUCGUGGCCCACGGCCUGUUUGAGCGAGUCCGUGAUGAAGACGCCCUUGAGGGCCUCGAGCAGGGAGCCGUUGAUGUAAUCCCGCCAGAAGGCGUCCAGGUAGGUGAGCUCGGAGAACUUGAUGUCGCAGAUGAUGGAGCCCAGGUCGCGGGACUUGAGGAUGGUGUUGGCCUGGUUGAAGCGCUCGAACUGCCGCUCCAGGGGCUCCUGCUUGUUGGAGAAGACGUUGCCCUGCAGGGCGGAGUCGUGCUGGCAGUACUCGGCUCGCACCCGCAGGCGGAUGUCUGA
rnacentral:lncRNA from 1 species